rnacentral:ncRNA from 3 species
GACUGGCGAUUGGGACGAAGUCGUAACAAGGUAGCCGUACCGGAAGGUGCGGCUGGAUCACCUCCUUU